rnacentral:rRNA from 1 species
GAUGAACGCUGGCGGCGUGCCUAAUACAUGCAAGUCGAGCGAACAGACGAGGAGCUUGCUCCUCUGACGUUAGCGGCGGACGGGUGAGUACACGUGGAUAACCUACCUAUAAGACUGGGAUAACUUCGGGAAACCGGAGCUAAUACCGGAUAAUAUAUUGAACCGCAUGGUUCAAUAGUGAAAGACGGUUUUGCUGUCACUUAUAGAUGGAUCCGCGCCGCAUUAGCUAGUUGGUAAGGUAACAGCUUACCAAGGCAACGAUGCGUAGCCGACCUGAGAGGGUGAUCGGCCACACUGGAACUGAGACACGGUCCAGACUCCUACGGGAGGCAGCAGUAGGGAAUCUUCCGCAAUGGGCGAAAGCCUGACGGAGCAACGCCGCGUGAGUGAUGAAGGUCUUCGGAUCGUAAAACUCUGUUAUUAGGGAAGAACAAAUGUGUAAGUAACUAUGCACGUCUUGACGGUACCUAAUCAGAAAGCCACGGCUAACUACGUG